UCCCUAGUGGUCUAGUGGCUAAGGAUCCAGCAUUCUCACUGCUGUGGCCCAAGUUCAAUUCCCAGCCAGGGAA